AGGCUGCUGCUGCAAUAAAGGCCGCAGGCAAGGCAUGGUAUCAGACGAUGAUUUCAGACAGUGAUUAUACCGAGUUCGAAAACUUCUCAAAGUGGUUGGGGGUUACUCAGAAAAGGGCGACCAACUAUGGACUGGCCCACUAGAUUGAAAAUUUAUGACUUGCAUAUCUGCAUGAAGACUGUAAUCCUAAGAUUAUUCAUUGUGGUAUCAAGGCAGCUAACAUUCUUCUUGAUUUUAAAUUUGAGGCAAAGAACUGUCGCAGCAUUUAAUGGGAAGCUUUUGAAGGAUAAUUCAACAGAUUUCUGUGCUCAACCCCAAGGAUAAUUCAACUGAUUUCCCUUCCAUAGUGAGAUAUCUAUCUAAUCAGGUGAAUCUUCCUUUUUGUUGCUAUGAAUCAAGUGAAUCUUCAUUUUUUAUCUUUAUUUUUCCUAUUUUUGGGAGCCUAGUAUUUUCUUAACAGUUUUAACAACUUUAAGAAAAUCAGAAAAAAUGAUCUUUUGAUUUAUGAUACUAUUCAUGAUACAAUUUGAUUCAAACCCUCUUAUGAUUUACUGUUAUCCCAUUGUGUAUUCCCAUGGGGUAAAAAAACAAAACAAAAGCCCAGCUCCACAUUGGCCCUACAAAAGGAGGGAAUUCCAAAUUUCCAAUCUUGAUUAAUAAAAACAAGCUGCUUUCUUUGAACCAACCAAAUGAUCUAACACAUGAGCUUGCCAUCAAUCAAUCCAAUAAAAAGAAAAUUAAUAAUAAUACCCAUUAAUUAAUAGAAAACCAAAUCUUUUGAUUUCUGAUUUCCCCUGCAUUUGACUUGGAACCCAUCCGUAAUACAACAAGGAGCACCCAGACUUCACCAAGGGCCCAACCAUUGCAUGUUUGAUUUGUACAACACUAUCAAGCUGAACCCUCAAGCAUUGGUGCACUUCCUGAACUUCCAAGAAACCCCUCCGUCUUUUCUUUAAUUCUAAUGUGAAAAUGCUGCAGAAAAUUGACUCUCUUGGGGAAUUUGAAUUCAUCCCAAAUUAUAUAGGCCCAGAUCAAGCUGCUUACUGCUUAGAUUCCGCUAUUCUUCACCAGAUGAAUUGACUGCCUGCUGUAUUUAUAAACCUGGUAAAUUAAUGGCAGAACUAUAUAUUUCUUUGUUGGCAUUGCAAGUGCUUGUUCCUUCUCUCUUAAACAGACACCACACGGUCACGCCAAACUUGACCAGUCCUUCUUGGCUUCAAUCUUCUUCCUAUAUAUACCCAAUUCAAAGCUCCUCCAUUCUAUCUUAAGCUGAAUAAACCUCUCUGUAGUAGUGUUGAGUCUUGAUUGUUUGAAAGAUGUAUUCAGAAAAAGCAGAACAAUACAGU